GUCAGCCAGAGAAGAAUUAAAAGGAAAAAUCUCCCUCAGCUCCAAAUGCAGCAUUUGAAAGCAACAUUUUAAUCAGAUCAUUUCAUAUUUUACAGAGGAGUCAUCUUUUACAGGAAAAAAAAUUUUUUUUCCCCAACACACGAAGGGCAAAAAAAUGAGACCCAUGGGAAAUGAUUUCUUCACAAUGCGGCUAUUUAAUUGAUCUAUUUGGAAAUCUUCUACCAUUUUGCUGCAUGCUAAUUGGAAGUCAUUUUAAAGCAGAAUCAGCUUGGAUCACAAUUGAUUUAAUGCAGUGUAGCUGGCCGGCCCAACUUGGGAGGAAAGUGUGCAUGAAAACCCUGCUUUUACAAGCCCCGUGGAGAGAGCAGUUAUUUGGAUGAGGCAGAACAGCAGUCUAGAAGGCCAGUGAUGACACAGACCUUGGCGGCCCUUCAGAAGUGACAGCCACGUCUUCAGUUACACUCCUCACACCCCUCCGGUGUGGGGCAACAGAUCAGUGGAGCGCCCUCUGCCCACAAACCCUCCCCUCCGGAGCCUCCCCCAGCCCGGUUUCCAUGUUCAAAAUGUGCCUCCUGGAAAGAUGGAUCGAAAAACUCCCAAUUGUUUUGGCCUUUUCAAAGAGUCCCUAAGAUUCGGAUUACUUCGGGAGGAGGAUUAGAUGGGCUUCAGUGAAAGAUGACGCCUUGGGACUUUGUGAGCUCAUCUCACUGUCCAAAGCUCUGGAGUUGCAGUGAUGAGUAAGAGGGAUUUUCCCUCAAAGGACUUUUGGAGGAGCAGGUGGCAGAGAGUGCUACAAGCUGAUGCAGAGAAACCGGCAAAGUGAAAGAGAAGCAGUCCCAGACAGCUGGGUCUCCUGGAAGGCUUCCCAAAGGAGACAGCGUGUGAUCUGGCCUUAAAGGACGAGUGGAAUUUUCACAGGGAAGCCUGAACUUCAGGAUCUGAUGGACUGGACAGGAAGGAGACACUCCUCUGUGCUGCUAACGUGUUCUUAAGGACAGCUAAUAACUGAGCAAAGUCGGAGGUGGCCACAAGAAGGACAGCUAGUCCAGACUAGAAGAGAGAGUUAACCGUCCUCACACGGAGCAGCCUCUCCUUGUCAUUUGGCAUCAUCAUGGCUGUCCUGCUAAAGACAAAACACAUUUUCCAAAAGAAGGCUCUUUUGACCCCUUGGCUGCCGUUCCAAAAUGGGGAAAUAUUACCAGGAUGAAAAUUACGCAGGGCAAAUAUUCAUGAAGAAAUGUGGUCUAAUGGAAGUCGCGUCUAUAAAAUAUCCAAUGCUUAGAAAUAAAUGAGAAUUCUGUCAAUCA